rnacentral:rRNA from 1 species
UGAAGUCGAACGAGAAAGCCCGGCAACGGGUGAGUACAGUGGCGUACGGGUGAGUAACACGUGGGUAAUCUACCUCUUUGUGUGGAAUAACCCUGGGAAACCGGGGCUAAUACCGCAUAAGCUCGAGAGAGGAAAGCAGCAAUGCGCUGAGAGAGGAGCCCGCGGCCGAUUAGCUAGUUGGCAGGGUAAAAGCCUACCAAGGCAAAGAUCGGUAGCCGGCCUGAGAGGGCACACGGCCACACUGGCACUGAAACACGGGCCAGACUCCUACGGGAGGCAGCAGUGGGGAAUCUUGCACAAUGGGGGCAACCCUGAUGCAGCGACGCCGCGUGAGCGAUGAAGCCCCUCGGGGUGUAAAGCUCUUUCGGCAGGGAAGAUUAUGACGGUACCUGCAGAAGCAGCUGCGGCUAACUACGUGCCAGCAGCCGCGGUAAUACGUAGGCAGCAAGCGUUGUUCGGAGUUACUGGGCGUAAAGGGUGUGUAGGCGGUCUUCUAAGUUUGGUGUGAAAUCUCCCGGCUCAACUGGGAGGGUGCGCCGAAUACUGAAAGACUAGAGUGCGGGAGAGGAUAGUGGAAUUCCUGGUGUAGCGGUGAAAUGCGUAGAUAUCAGGAGGAACACCGGUGGUGUAGACGGCUAUCUGGACCGUAACUGACGCUGAGACACGAAAGCGUGGGUAGCAAACAGGAUUAGAUACCCUGUAGUCCACGCCCUAAACGAUGCAUAUUUGGUGUGGGGCAGUUCAGUCUGUCCGUGCCGGAGCUAACGCGUUAAAUAUGCCGCCUGGGGAGUACAGUCGCAGGCUGAAACUCAAAGGAAUUGACGGGGGCCCGCACAAGCGGGGACAUG